CUUUCUCUCUCUCUUUUUUUUUUAUUUACUCACAGGUCUCCCAAAAAAAUCUCACGCGUUCCCCAUGGAGGGGGAAAAACACGCGCUGUCCGCCUUUCUGCUCGGGAUCUGGUCGAGUUUGGGAGGGAGAAAGUGCUUUGGAAACUCCUGUUGUCUUCUCCCCUCCCUCCACAAUCCCACUCUCAUUCAAGUAACCACAGAACAAACUUUUGUUGUUUGUUUGUUUGUUUUUCUAAUGAGGAGCCUGACAAGACUUCUAGAUGUUUGUUUUGCCCCCAACAUUAUCAUGAUCUUAAUAAAUCAUUUUGAACUUCC